rnacentral:rRNA from 1 species
UGGGGAAUUGUUCGCAAUGGGCGCAAGCCUGACGACGCAACGCCGCGUGGAGGACGAAGAUCUUCGGGUCGUAAACUCCUUUCGAUCGGGAAGAACGGCUUCCGGCCUAACACGCUGGAAGAGUGACGGUACCGAGAGAAGAAGCCCCGGCUAACUCCGUGCCAGCAGCCGCGGUAAUACGGGGGGGGCAAGCGUUGUUCGGAAUUACUGGGCGUAAAGGGCUCGUAGGCGGCCAACUAAGUCGGAUGUGAAAUCCCCAGGCUUAACCUGGGAACUGCAUUUGUGACUGCAUCGCUGGAGUGCGGCAGAGGGGGAUGGAAUUCCGCGUGUAGCAGUGAAAUGCGUAGAUAUGCGGAGGAACACCGAUGGCGAAGGCAAUCCCCUGGGCCUGCACUGACGCUCAUGCACGAAAGCGUGGGGAGCAA